AGUGAACGCUGGCGGUAGGCCUAACACAUGCAAGUCGAACGGCAGCACAGUAAGAGCUUGCUCUUACGGGUGGCGGGUGGCGGACGGGUGAGGAAUACAUCGGAAUCUACUUUUUCGUGGGGGAUAACGUAGGGAAACUUACGCUAAUACCGCAUACGACCUACGGGUGAAAGCAGGGGAUCUUCGGACCUUGCGCGAUUGAAUGAGCCGAUGUCGGAUUAGCUAGUUGGCGGGGUAAAGGCCCACCAAGGCGACGAUCCGUAGCUGGUCUGAGAGGAUGAUCAGCCACACUGGAACUGAGACACGGUCCAGACUCCUACGGGAGGCAGCAGUGGGGAAUAUUGGACAAUGGGCGCAAGCCUGAACCAGCCCUACCGCGUGGGUGAAGAAGGCCUUCGGGUUGUAAAGCCCUUUUGUUGGGAAAGAAAAGCAGCAGGUUAAUACCCCGCUGUUCUGACGGUACCCAAAGAAUAAGCACCGGCUAACUUCGUG
rnacentral:rRNA from 1 species